AAAAAAAGAAGAAGAAUAAAUCAAUAAAAAAAUGUUUAACAAUUAAAUGACAUUAAAUGCAAAGUAUACAGUAAUCAAGGCAUAAAAUAUAAGCCCAAUCCCACUAUGAAUGGACUUCGGUGAAAUUCAGAUCAACUAAAACCUUUUUGAAUCCAUAAAACCCAAUUUGAACCAUUUCUUUCAGAUAGGUGACCAGAUAUUAAAUUAUUUUCCAGCUGCAAUUUUUUUA
rnacentral:misc_RNA from 1 species